rnacentral:lncRNA from 1 species
UCCNNNNNNNNNNGCCGGAACACAAAAGGGAAUCUGCAAGCCAUGCUAAUUGUCAGGAACUCAGCCCAGGCUGGCGAUUUCAUUUUCGUUUCUUAAUUCAGACCUUAAAGAGGACCUUAAAGCACGUGACAGAUACAAUCACAGAGAGAAAAGACCGCGUUUUGCUUUUUCCUCGUCGAAUGCCUCCUGGAGAACAAGAGGCUGCAAGAACCCGGAAUUGGACGGAUGGCUCAUUGAGGACUGAUCACCAACGAGCACAUAAAACACCAGACCCGCUUACGAUUCCUCGUUGCACACAAUAAACAAAGCAGAUUCUCUAGACCACAAGGAAGGACUCAGAAGGACAACGAACAGAAUUCUGGCAUCCUCCUGUAGCAGCAGCAGCAUUUUAGGAUCAGUGAAUGUGUUCGGCUUAGAACCUGAUCAGGUCAAAGUACCGGUGAAAGACGGAAAGGUCUGUGUGUCAGCUGAGAGGGAGAACAGGUACGACUGCCUUGGAUCCAAAAAGUACAGUUACAGGAACAUCUGCAAAGAGUCCAGCUUGCAGCCGUGUGUGGACGAGAAAGAAGUGAAAGAAAGAAGUGACCCACUCCUACAGCUCGGCAGCUGUGUCAAGAUCGAAUCUCCAUGCUACCCUUGCACUUCUCCCUGACACCCCUGCAUCCCCUGGGGCCCCUGCGGCACCUGAGGCGCCUGUGGACCCUGCGGGCCCUGCGACCCCUGCU